CAUGUCUUAAUGUAAUGUAUAUUAAGUUUAACCUGCUCAAUGAUUGUAAAUUAAAUAGCCGCAGUAUUUUGACUGUGCGAAGGUAGCAUAAUCAUUUGUCUUUUAAUUGGAGGCUUGUAUGAAUGGUUGGAUGAGAGGAUUACUUUCUUUAUAUUAAUUAGUUGAAUUUAAUUUUUGGGUUAAAAAGCUUAAAUAUAUAAAUGGGACGAGAAGACCCUAUAGAAUUUUAUUAUUAUAAUUUAUUUAUAUCAUAAUUUAUAUUUUAUUUGAUUAUUAAAAUUAAUAAUUUUGUUGGGGUGAUGGGAAGAUUUUUUUAACUCUUUUAUUUUUUAUUUAUUGAUUUAUAUUUUAUUGGAUCCUAUUAUUAUGGAUUAGUAGAUUAAAUUACCUUAGGGAUAACAGCGUAAUUUUUUUGGAGAGUUCUUAUUGAUAAAGAAGUUUGCGACCUC
rnacentral:rRNA from 1 species